rnacentral:rRNA from 1 species
UACGUAGGGUGCGAGCGUUAAUCGGAAUUACUGGGCGUAAAGCGUGCGCAGGCGGUGAUGUAAGACAGGUGUGAAAUCCCCGGGCUUAACCUGGGAACUGCAUUUGUGACUGCAUCGCUGGAGUGCGGCAGAGGGGAUGGAAUUCCCAGUGUAGAGGUGAAAUUCGUAGAUAUUGGGAGAACACCAGUGGCGAAGGCGGCUCACUGGACCGACACUGACGCUGAGGCGCGAAAGCGU